rnacentral:lncRNA from 1 species
AACUGCCUGUUUACUUGUCUUUCUUCCUUAGAGGGCCAGGCCCUAAAAGCCUAGGAUUAUAGCAAAUUUCUUGCUGUAUCUCCAACUUUCAUCAUGGAUCUUAGAAUACAGUGGCCUUCAAGUAAGUGUUCAUGAGAUGAAUAAAUGAGAAAGAGAGAGAAGACAAAAAGAAACUGAACAACAAAAGGAAAAAGAAAGCUUCAUACAACCCUCGGCACACAGCAGGUGUCCUGAUGACAUAGAACAGGAUGAGUACUGAAACCACAAGGCUAAAAUGAAGGGAGGCAUGAGGGAUGUCAAGGCCCAAGCCACUGAAGCCUGGUGGGUGCUGGCCAGACAUUCUCAGUGCCAUUCAAGUCCCUUCACGUGGUAACUUUCCCACAGCUGAGGGUCAACCAUGAGUGGCCAGCGCUCACAGUUGAUGAGAAUGGUGGCAUUCUCCACGGACAUGCGGUCGGCUGGGAGGCCCUCGUUCUGCCAGGCAGCCACGUCAGCAUCAUCCAUCAGCAUCCUCAGGGGAUCCAGGGCUGGGGUGACUGGAAUGGGAGUCUGGUGAAGAAGAAACACCACCCCACGCUCAGAACAGAAGCAGACAUUCUCAGCUGGGAUGAAUGCAGUUACUCACCAAAUGACACAACUCCUUUAAAAGCAAGAUCAACAUCCCACUGAAGAAUGCCUUUCUGGCUGUGUGAUUAUUUCUGGAAGCAGGUUCUAUUAAAGUCCUGAUAGCUUUUUUUUUUCCCCUCCAUGGAUGAAUAACUGCAGAAAUU